UACGUAGGGGGCGAGCGUUGUCCGGAUUUACUGGGCGUAAAGGGUGAGUAGGCGGUUAUAUAUGUCAGGUGUAAAAGACAAUGGCUCAACCAUUGUUAGCACUUGAAACUGUAUGACUUGAGUGCAGGAGAGGUAAGCGGAAUUCCUAGUGUAGCGGUGAAAUGCGUAGAUAUUAGGAGGAACACCAGUGGCGAAGGCGGCUUACUGGACUGUAACUGACGCUGAGACACGAUAGCGUGGGUAGCAAACAGGAUUAGAUACCCU
rnacentral:rRNA from 1 species